GGGCUCACACAAGCGGUGGAGCAUGUGGAUUAAUUCGAAGCAACGCGCAGAACCUUACCUGGGUUUGACAUGCUUGGAUGCCCGCCUGGAAACAGGUUGGGCUGCCUUCGGGUGAAACUUGCACAGGUGCUGCAUGGCUGUCGUCAGCUCGUGUCGUGAGAUGUCGGGUUAAGUCCUCUAACGAGCGAAACCCUUGCCGUUAGUUACCAGCGGGUCAUGCCGGGAACUCUAACGGGACUGCCGGUGUUAAACCGGAGGAAGGUGGGGAUGACGUCAAGUCAUCAUGGCCUUUAUGCCCAGGGCCUCACACGUGCUACAAUGGUCGGAACAAAGCGACGCAAGACCGCGAGGUGGCGCAAAUCGCAAAAAUCCGGCCCCAGUUCGGAUUGCAGGCUGGCAACUCGCCUGCAUGAAGUUGGAAUCGCUAGUAAUCGCGUAUCAGCGAUGACGCGGUGAAUGUGUUCCUGAGCCUU
rnacentral:rRNA from 1 species